CUGAAACUAGACAAAAACAUUAUAAGAAAAGAAAAGCAGCUGGGCAUGGUGGCUCACACCUGUAAUCCCAACACUUUGGGAGGCCGAGGUUGGUGGAUCACCUGAGGGUCUCACUGUGUCACUCAGGUGGGAGUGCAGUGCCAUGAUCAUAGCCCACUGCUGCCUUGAUCUCCUGAGCUUAAGCGAUCCUCCCGGCCUCAGCCUCCAGAGUAGCUGGAACUACAGCUACUUGGAGUAUGAUGGGAGAGCCUGGUUUCUAAGGUAACCACAGACAGGAAGGUAGCAAGCUGGGGACGCUGAAGGGCACACCUGGAAGGUGACCCUGCAAACAAUGCAGACCUCUCACUGUGAGUAAAGGUCUGUCCCUUAACAGCACCCUAGAAGGAGAAUGACAGUAACCUGGAGUUCAUCUCUUUAAAAGAAACACCAGUCAGGGAUGGAGAUGUCUGCUCAUGGAUGAGAAGUUGCUUCUCUAGAAUUCACAUCGUGAACCAUUCAAGGUUUUUCAUCACUGCUCUCCGUCAGCUAUUCAAUCAAGCAUUGAGUUUCUAGAAUCUCUCCCAGAAAUAAAAGCUGACCAUACCCACCUACCCACCUUUUUCUUUGCUUCUCACUACUUAAAGAUAAUCAG
rnacentral:lncRNA from 1 species